rnacentral:rRNA from 1 species
GACGAACGCUGGCGGCGUGCUUAACACAAGCAAGUCGAACGAUGAAGCCGGAGCUUGCUCUGGUGAAUUAGUGGCGAACGGGUGAGUAACACGUGAGUAACCUGCCCUUGACUCUGGGAUAACUGCGGGAAACUGUAGCUAAUACCGGAUACGACCCUCGGAGGCAUCUCCUGGGGGUGGAAAGAAUUUCGGUCAAGGAUGGACUCGCGGCCUAUCAGCUAGUUGGUGAGGUAAAGGCUCACCAAGGCGACGACGGGUAGCCGGCCUGAGAGGGUGACCGGCCACACUGGGACUGAGACACGGCCCAGACUCCUACGGGAGGCAGCAGUGGGGAAUAUUGCACAAUGGGCGCAAGCCUGAUGCAGCAACGCCGCGUGAGGGAUGACGGCCUUCGGGUUGUAAACCUCUUUAAGCAGGGAAGAAGCGAAAGUGACGGUACCUGCAGAAAAAGCACCGGCUAACUACGUGCCAGCCGCCGCAGUAA